GACGAACGCUGGCGGCGUGCCUAAUACAUGCAAGUCGAACGGUCUUUUCUAUGGAAGCUUGCUUCCACUGAGAAGAUAGUGGCGAACGGGUGAGUAACACGUGGGUAACCUGCCCAUAAGAGGGGGAUAACAUCCGGAAACGGGUGCUAAUACCGCAUAGUUUUCUUGAUCGCAUGAUCGGGAAAGGAAAGACGGCCUUUGUGCUGUCGCUUAUGGAUGGACCCGCGGCGUAUUAGUUAGUUGGUGAGGUAACGGCACACCAAGACGAUGAUACGUAGCCGACCUGAGAGGGUGGUCGGCCACAUUGGGACUGAGACACGGCCCAAACUCCUACGGGAGGCAGCAGUAGGGAAUCUUCCGCAAUGGACGAAAGUCUGACGGAGCAACGCCGCGUGAGUGAAGAAGGUUUUCGGAUCGUAAAACUCUGUUGUCAGAGAAGAACAAGUUGGAGAGUAACUGCUCCAGCCUUGACGGUAUCUGACCAGAAAGCCACGGCUAACUACGUGCCAGCAGCCGCGGUAACAC
rnacentral:rRNA from 1 species